CAAGUCGAGGGGCAGCAUGGUGUAGCAAUACACUGAUGGCGACCGGCAAACGGGUGCGGAACGCGUACAGAACCUUCCUUCGAGCGGGGAAUAGCCCAGAGAAAUUUGGAUUAAUACCCCAUAGUAUAACAGAGAGGCAUCUCUUUGUUAUUAAAGAUUUAUCACUUGAAGAUGGCUGUGCGGCUGAUUAGGUAGUUGGCGGGGUAACGGCCCACCAAGCCUAUGAUCAGUAACUGGUGUGAGAGCACGACCAGUCACACGGGCACUGAGACACGGGCCCGACUCCUACGGGAGGCAGCAGUAAGGAAUAUUGGUCAAUGGACGAAAGUCUGAACCAGCCAUGCCGCGUGAAGGAUGAAGGUCCUCUGGAUUGUAAACUUCUUUUAUAUGGGACGAAAAUGGGCCUUUCUAGGUCAACUGACGGUACCAUAAGAAUAAGCACCGGCUAACUCCGUGCCAGCAGCCGCGGUAAUACGGAGGGUGCAAGCGUUAUCCGGAUUCACUGGGUUUAAAGGGUGCGUAGGUGGGUUGGUAAGUCAGUGGUGAAAUCCCCGAGCUUAACUCGGGAACUGCCAUUGAUACUAUCAGUCUUGAAUAUCGUGGAGGUCAGCGGAAUAUGUCAUGUAGCGGUGAAAUGCUUAGAUAUGACAUAGAACACCAAUUGCGAAGGCAGCUGGCUACCCGAAUAUUGACACUGAGGCACGAAAGCGUGGGGAUCAAACAGGAUUAGAUACCCUGGUAGUCCACGCCCUAAACUAUGGAUACUCGACAUAUGCGAUAAACUGUAUGUGUCUGAGCGAAAGCAUUAAGUAUCCCGCCUGGGAAGUACGACCGCAAGGUUGAAACUCAAAGGAAUUGGCGG
rnacentral:rRNA from 1 species